GUGGUGAUUGGAAGCAACCGGCUACAGUACGGAAUUUGUUCCCGUUUCAUUCGGCCGCUAAAUUCUGCUCAUUUAAUAUAAAUAUUUUAUUACUUUUAUUACCGAAAUUUAUGUGUCAAUGACAAAAUUGAAGAGAAAAUUCGCGAUAACCGACAAAUUUCUACCCAGGCUAGCUAAAAAUCUGUGCACUCGAAAAGGCAGCCGACGUGCUAAUACCGGAAACCGCUUGGAGCACGCCGUACUGACUCACAUUCAGCACGUGCCGUAGACUGCCUGCUUCCCCACUCUCAUUACCUUCAUCAUCAUCACCUACUAACCCGGUCGACAAAAUGGCCCGCGGCGAUGAAUGCAAAACAGCCACUAAGGCUACCCAUGCCUGCAAGCAAUUCGAUGUAUCUGCUCUAAUCAAAAAACCUAUAGCAAGCCAAUCAACUCAGGAAAAGAAGAAGCCGGAGCAGAAGAAUUACGGCGCCUGGGGGCCCACAUUCAAGGACAAGAAAACUUUUGUCGACAUGCAUAUCUGCUGAACCAACGGCACCAUCACCGCUUAACAUAACGUCUCUUGCUACCAAAAUGUCAUCGUAUAAUAUACUUAUUCAAUAAAUAGCAUGUAACCUUUGUGCCGUUUUAGCUUUUCACUUCUCUUCUCUUCUACGGUUUAGGGUAUCUCGCGUACUAACAAUCCUGUAUUAUUUUAACAAUUAAAGCAUCAUCAUAAGCA